GAUGAACGCUGGCUACAGGCUUAACACAUGCAAGUCGAGGGGAAACGACGGGGAAGCUUGCUUCCCCGGGCGUCGACCGGCGCACGGGUGAGUAACGCGUAUCCAACCUGCCUCUGACUGAGGGAUAACCCGUCGAAAGUCGGCCUAAUACCUCAUGGCAUCGUCUGCGGGCAUCCAACGACGAUUAAAGAUUUCAUCGGUCAGGGAUGGGGAUGCGUCUGAUUAGCUUGUUGGCGGGGUAACGGCCCACCAAGGCUACGAUCAGUAGGGGUUCUGAGAGGAAGGUCCCCCACAUUGGAGCUGAGACACGGACCAAACUCCUACGGGAGGCAGCAGUGAGGAAUAUUGGUCGAUGGGCGGGGGCCUGAACCAGCCAAGUAGCGUGCAGGAUGACGGCGCUAUGGGUUGUAAACUGCUUUUAUGCGGGGAUAAAGUGAGGGACGUGUCCUUCAUUGCAGGUACCGAAUGAAUAAGGACCGGCUAAUUCCGUG
rnacentral:rRNA from 1 species